rnacentral:ncRNA from 1 species
CCAACGGCUCUUUUAAGAGCCACCUACGUUAUUCAGGAAAAGAGCUU